rnacentral:tRNA from 1 species
AGGGAUUUAGCUCAGCGGUAGAGCGCUUGCCUAGCAAGCGCAAGGCCCUGGGUUCGAUCCCCAGCUCUG